UCAAAGGCCUAUUCCUGGCUUAAUCCAAGCCCUGUCUGUGAAAUCAGACCUUUGAGAUUAAUUAACUUAAAAGUUACUUUACUAGAUAGAAAAGAUCUCCUCCUUCAGUGAUGCUCCUCCUCCUCCAGUGAAGCUCCUCCCACUGCAGUUCACCAAUAAACGCUGGAAUAUUCCCCUCAGCUACAAGUGAAGACGAGCAUCAAACCAUCAGGAAGAGCCAACACAAACACAGAGUUUAUUGAAGGACACUGAGAACAUGAGAUCCAGAACACUGCAGAAUGAAACAUACUGAAGAACAAAGAGGUUCUGAGUGCCUGACAACUGUGAGCUGAUAACGGGCUGCGCC